rnacentral:rRNA from 1 species
UACAGAGGUCUCAAGCGUUGUUCGGAUUCAUUGGGCGUAAAGGGUGUGUAGGUGGCGCCGUAAGUCGGGUGUGAAAUUUCGGAGCUUAACUCCGAAACUGCAUUCGAUACUGCGGUGCUUGAGGACUGGAGAGGAGACUGGAAUUCAUGGUGUAGCAGUGAAAUGCGUAGAGAUCAUGAGGAACACCGGUGGCGAAGGCGGCCAUCUGGACGGAUACUGACGCUGAGACGCGAAAGCGUGGGGAGCAAACAGG